AUUGAACGCUGGCGGCAGGCUUAACACAUGCAAGUCGAGCGAGCGGCGGACGGGUGAGAAAUGUCUGGGAAACUGCCUGAUGGAGGGGGAUAACUACUGGAAACGGUAGCUAAUACCGCAUACCAUCAGAUGUGCCCAGAUGGGCUUAGCUAGUAGGUGGGGUAAUGGUUCACCUAGGCGACGAUCCCUAGCUGGUCUGAGAGGAUGAACUGCCACACUGUAACUGAGACACGGUCCAGCCUCCUACGGGAGGCAGCAUUGGGUAAUAUUGCACAAUGUGCGCAAGCCUGCUGCAGCCAUGCCGCGUGUGGGAAGAAGGCCUUCGGGUUGUAAAGCACUUUCAGCGAGGAGGCGUUACUCGCAGAAGAAGCACCGGCUAACUCCGUGCCAGCAGCCGCGGUAAUAC
rnacentral:rRNA from 1 species